rnacentral:misc_RNA from 1 species
CAGAGUUAUCCAACUCCCAAACCCAUGUGAACUUAUCUCUUUGUUGCCUCGGCGCAAGCUACCCGGGACCUCGCGCCCCGGGCGGCCCGCCAGCGGACAAACCAAAACUCUUGUUAUCUUAGUUGAUUAUCUGAGUGUCCUAUUUAAUAAGUCA